GUUGAGAGGGAUGUUGUCUGGCUCGACGCCCUCCGGGAGGGAAACGGGACGGCGGCGUCGGACCAGGCUUCAUUCCCCUCAAC
rnacentral:pre_miRNA from 1 species